GCCUGAUCCAGCCAUGCCGCGUGUCUGAAGAAGGCCUUCGGGUUGUAAAGGACUUUUGUCAGGGAGGAAAUCCCUAAGGUUAAUACCCUUGGGGGAUGACAGUACCUGAAGAAUAAGCACCGGCUAACUACGUGCCAGCAGCCGCGGUAAUACGUAGGGUGCAAGCGUUAAUCGGAAUUACUGGGCGUAAAGCGUGCGCAGGCGGUUGUGUAAGUCUGAUGUGAAAGCCCCGGGCUCAACCUGGGAACUGCAUUGGAGACUGCACGGCUAGAGUGCGUCAGAGGGGGGUAGAAUUCCGCGUGUAGCAGUGAAAUGCGUAGAGAUGCGGAGGAAUACCGAUGGCGAAGGCAGCCCCCUGGGAUGACACUGACGCUCAUGCACGAAAGCGUGGGGAGCAAACAGGAUUAGAUACCCUGGUAGUCCACGCCCUAAACGAUGUCAACUAGCUGUUGGGGGUUUGAAUCCUUGGUAGCGUAGCUAACGCGAGAAGUUGACCGCCUGGGGAGUACGGCCGCAAGGUUAAAACUCAAAGGAAUUGACGGGGACCCGCACAAGCGGUGGAUGAUGUGGAUUAAUUCGAUGCAACGCGAAAAACCUUACCUGGUCUUGACAUGUACAGAACUUUCCAGAGAUG
rnacentral:rRNA from 1 species